GUUUAUGGCCAUGUCAGCCUCAGAAUACUCAAUCUGUUCUGAUCAUGGAAGCUUAUCAUGCUCAGGCCUGGUCUGUACGUGGAUGGGAGAACACCUAACAAUACCAACUGCUAUAAUUU
rnacentral:rRNA from 1 species